rnacentral:misc_RNA from 1 species
UCCGGCUUGACGCCGGCAGUCCCCCGAGAGUCCUCAGCAUGACCUGUUAGUAACACGGGGCAAGGGUUGCGCUCGUUGCGGGACUUAACCCAACAUCUCACGAUAUGAGCCGGUGUGUCCACAGGAGAUUGCUCUCCUGGGGGCCAAUCGUCGAUUAGCCAUGCAACACCUGUGCUAGCCCCUUACGGACACGGGCUUUCACCCGCUUUAACUAGCAUGUCAAGCCUAGGUAAGGUUCUUCGCGUUGCAUCGAAUUAAGCCACAUGCUCCGCCGCUUGUGCGGGCCCCCGUCAAUUCCUUUGAGUUUUAGCCUUGCGGCCGUACUCCCCAGGCGGGGUGCUUAAUGCGUUAGCUUCGGCACGGAAAGGGUUGAAGGCCUCCCCACACCUAGCACCCAACG